AACGAGCGCAACCCUUGCCUUUAGUUGCCAGCAGUUCGGCUGGGCACUCUAAAGGGACUGCCGGUGUUAAACCGGAGGAAGGUGGGGAGUGGACGUCAAGUCCUCAUGGCCUUUAUCGACCAGGGCUACACACGUACUACAAUGGCCGAUACAAAGGGCAAGGCGACACUGCGAGGUGAAGCCAAUCCCGUAAAAUCGGUCUCAGUCCGGAUUGGAGUCUGCAACUCGACUCCAUGAAGUUGGAAUCGCUAGUAAUCGUGGAUCAGCAUGCCACGGUGAAUACGUUCCCGGGCCUU
rnacentral:rRNA from 1 species